rnacentral:lncRNA from 1 species
UGGCGAUAUUGAUAGAAAAUAAACCAUGUUAAUCCAAAAGACAAUACAAAAAUUAAAAAAAAACCUGUUUAGUAUGAGAAAACCGUAAUGGAUUGUAUACGAGUUUAUAUAUUCCAGAAAAAAUAGGCGAGACAAGGGCGGAAGGAUUAGGUCUGUGGAAUACUGAUACAAUUGAAUAUUGGAAUAGAUAUAGACAUGUUUAGGUCAUGUGGAAACAAUGACAAAUACUUUAUCGAUAUCCUGUUCCAAAGCACAUGUUUCCUGUGUUUUGAUUUAUGGAUAUAUAUAUGUGUCUGGAGGGGAGUUCAUCGUUUCGUUGUUUAUCAUUAAAUAAUUUUCUGUAUUUUUUACUUAUUUUUAUCCUUAAUCUUGAUUCUUAUGAUUCAGCACCCCAUUAUUCUCCGUUUUGUAUUUUUUUAAUACUUUUUUUCUCUUCAUUCUUUCUUUUUUUUUCGUAACUUAUGGUGCACUUUUAGUGCAUAAUUCUUUAUUCUGUAAACCCAAUUCAAACCUUCAUAUCGUAAUUUUUGAUUUUUUAAAAAUUAAAUGUAUAUUUUUUUACAUCAGAGGAAGGUUUUUUCCACACCGUCGGGCUUUCGUGGUAUUUGCCGAAACAUUCAUUACGUAGACGCUUGAUUAUUAAAUGAAUCUGCUUACAUCUUUUAUAUGCUCUAAAAAGUUUUAAAGGUAACACUUGUAAUGUUUUUUUUCAUAAUAAUUAUAGUCGGAGUAUAAUUAAUGAAAUUAAUGUUCAAAUGUUUGACUCAACGAUGCAUGAAUUUAGUUCUCAAAAUGCCAGUUUUUAAAAGAGAGUUCCUUCGUCCACUGCUUAUGCAUAUUUACC